UACAGCGGAAGACUAAAAUAAAUCAAAAUUUAUUUUCUAAGAUCAGAAGAUCCCUAGAUCUAAGAUCCUAUGACAUGAUUAUUACAUAGCAUUAAAUCAAAAAUUAAAAUAUAUAUAAAUAUAGUAUGAACUACAUGUUGAUCAUAUCAACAUGUUUCUAUACUAGCUACAUCUAAUGUAUGUAUUAAAUAAUAGAUCAGAUCUAUUACCUUGCAAGUUAGAUGCUCUAACCUCAUUGAUCCGGGCUUAAGGAUGAUGUUGCAAGUCGUACACGCGUCCGACCUCUAGGAGUCGUCCACACGAGCCCACGAAUCUCGAUCAGAAGUCCUGCUUCAGGAAAUCAGCACAGUAUGCUAGUACUGCGCUGAUCCUUCUUUGAUGGUUGAUCAGGUGCCUCCUUCUUCUUGAUUUGGACUCUUCCAAAGAUGAAAAGUAGAAGGAGGAGUUUCAGAUCUGAGACACUCUC
rnacentral:lncRNA from 1 species